UACGUAGGGUGCAAGCGUUGUCCGGAAUUAUUGGGCGUAAAGAGCUCGUAGGCGGUUUGUUGCGUCGGCUGUGAAAUCCCGAGGCUCAACCUCGGGUCUGCAGUCGAUACGAGCAAACUAGAGUGUUGCAGGGGAGACUGGAAUUCCUGGUGUAGCGGUGAAAUGCGCAGAUAUCAGGAGGAACACCGGUGGCGAAGGCGGGUCUCUGGGGCAACAACUGACGCUGGAGGAGCGAAAGCCGUGGGGAGCGAAACAGG
rnacentral:rRNA from 1 species